AGCGUAGACGGUAUGGCAAGUCUGAUGUGAAAGGCCAGGGCUCAACCCUGGGACUGCAUUGGAAACUGUCGAACUAGAGUGUCGGAGAGGCAAGUGGAAUUCCUAGUGUAGCGGUGAAAUGCGUAGAUAUUAGGAGGAACACCAGUGGCGAAGGCGGCUUGCUGGACGAUGACUGACGUUGAGGCUGAAAGCGUGGGGAGCAAACA
rnacentral:rRNA from 1 species